rnacentral:lncRNA from 1 species
GAUCCACCUGCUUCGGCCUCCCAAAGUGCUGGGAUUACAGGCACGAGCCACCGCACCUGGCCUCAAACAAGCUUUUUAAUUGCAUUCAGAAGUGCACCAACUAGGCACAGACCUCUGGCAUGGAGACAGAAUGGGAGGUUCUUGGUGUCUGGCCUGGUCUUGCAGAAAUCAGGGAGUUGUGGGGACCAGGCAGCCACUGUGCAUCAGAUAGGAGUUUCAGCAGCAGGCAACAGAAAGCCUGCCAAUGUAGCUGAAAUAAGAAGGGCUUAUUUUUAUCCCUGAACAGAAGCUUCCAGCACUGGUUCAUCAGAUCAGGGCACUGAGCUGGCAUCCCCAUUUAUACAGUUUUCCUUUCCUUCACCUUUGUAAGAUGCCUGGCACAGCUCUGAGCAUCAAAUAUCUGUGCCAUGUGGGAGCACACGAGGGGACAAGUGGGGAAUAGGGUCUCCUCUGUCCUCUGUCCCCAGGCUGGCUUCUCUCGUGGUAGAAGGACCCCCACAGCACCAGGCCUCAUAACUACCCUGCUGGUAAACUGCAGGUGCUGUCACGGCUUCCUGCCUUCGUAUAUGAAAUGUUCCUUGGCAGCUGGACUGCUGUUUGUUUACCGCACGCACAGCUCUGCUGCCUCUUGGUUACACCAGUGAGCUAUUGCUCCAUGACAAGCCACACCGAAAUGUAGCAAGCACUUAUUGUUGCCCACAUGUGUCAAGUCAGUUGAGUGUUUCUGCCAACCGGGGCCUGGCUUGGCCCACCUUGGCUGAGCUUGCUCUGGUGCUAGGGUCAGCUAGACAGGUCGGCAGGAGACCAGCUGCUCUAGAAGAGCCUGGACAGGAUGAAUUGGUUCUCCUUCCACGUGCAUCUUGCAUCCCUCCAGCCAAGGAUUUGAACCCAGGUCUCGUCUGACUCCAAAUGCACCAAGAGGAUGGAGCCCAGAGUGACACAGAGGAAGAGGCCCCUGGAUGGAUGCAUGGGGAAGAUCACGGGAAUUACAAGUGACAUCCUGAAGUAUGAUCACAAAUGUUUCAAAUUAAGCCUUCCUGCUAAGUUUCCAGAGGUGUGUGGCUCGGACGAAGUGUUUCCAGACCCUGAUCUACUGCAUGUCCUGCCUGUUGCUGGUUCUUUGCAGCAGUCCAUUGACCAAUGCUGUCUACAGCUUGAGAGCCUCUGCAGGCCAGGGCUGCUCUGUGCACAUCCUACGUUACUAUUCAAACUGCACAGCAGCAUGAAAAACAGGCCCUUCUUUUCUCUCAUUUACACAUAUGUGAAGAAGACACAGCAAGUGAGAAAACGUGACCGAAAGCCACGCGGACAGGUGGCCGCAGGGCCAAACCCAACUUCCGUGAUGUGAUCUGGCUACAGUUUGGAGCCCACAUAUUUCAAUAGUUAUCCCCAGGCCUGGCACGUCAAAGAGGCUCCAGAAAUGUUUGCUGAGUGAGUGAUGAAUCAGCAAUUUCUGAUUUUCUCCUAAACUUAGAGAAUAAGUGGCUUGUCUGCAGUCACCCAGGGCGUCCCUGACAGAGGUACAAGUAAAGCCCAGAUCUCUGCAUCUCUGGUUCAAGGCCUUUUGUACUACACACCGCUGUCUCUUUGUCAUCAUUAAAAGCAAGGCUCAAGGGACAUGUUUUCUAGCCUUAGUUCCCCAUCUACAAAAUGGGCCUCAUGGAAUGGAAUGUCUCCACUUCACUCCAGCAUCAACAAGUGGGGAAUUCUGAUGGAUUCAAUUCGACUUCUUUCCAUGGGCGUGUUCUAAGCAGCCUCUUUGUUCCAGAAGCUGCCCUCAGCCAGAGUUGGAUAAGCCAAUCCUCACUCCCCAGCCUCCUCUGGAUAGGGAUGAAGACCCCACUGGGGUUGGAAGUGCAGAGGCAGACAGGUGUAUGGAGUCACCUGUAAAUUGAUUCAAGUGAGCCAGGAAAGCAGCAAAGGAAAGAGAAACCUGAGUGACGACGUGGUGGAGGAACAGGGCUGGAAAGAGGCUGCUGGCUGUCUGGCUUCGCAGCUCUGGCCUCCUAAUCAGCCUCGCUCUUGUCUCUGGUGUUCUCUGGCUCUUGUCCAUCUGUCUGUGUUUCUUUUUGCCAGCUAUUGACUAAUCUUUGCUGAAGCUGAGCUAGAAUUCUGGUGUUUAUAAGCAGGUAACUAGCUGAGCACUAGUUGAUAACUUUGGAGUUAGUGGAUAACCACAGGGCUGGGCUACUAAGCUUUUUCAGUUGAAAAAUAAAUAAAUAAAUAAAUAAACACCACACCCAGCUAAUUUUUGUAUUUUUAGUAGAGACAGGGUUUCACCGUGUUAGCCAGGAUGGACUCCAUCUCCUGACCUCGUGAUCCGCCUACCUCGGCCUCCCAAAGUGCUGGGAUUACAGGCGUGAGCCACCACGCCCGGUCACCUUUGUCCUGUUUUCUACAGGUUAGAAGCAAGGCACAAGUCAUACCUACAUUCAAGGAGAGGGGACCAUGCAAAGGAUAAACUGCAGAGAGACAACAGAUUUACAUCCCAGACACAUUCACACUGGGCCAAGAGCAGCUGCCAUUGCAGAUUCGAGUCACGUCCUUUUUUCCUUCCUUCUCCUUCUUGGAGUUACAACAGAAGCUGGGGAGGUGAGAGUGCAGGUGAGAGAGGAGGGGG